rnacentral:rRNA from 1 species
UGGGGAAUCUUCCGCAAUGGACGAAAGUCUGACGGAGCAACGCCGCGUGAGUGAAGAAGGUUUUCGGAUCGUAAAACUCUGUCUUUUGGGGCGAACGUGAGUAUGGUGAACAAUCAUAGUCAGUGACGGUACCAAAGGAGGAAGCCACGGCUAACUACGUGCCAGCAGCCGCGGUAAUACGUAGGUGGCAAGCGUUGUCCGGAAUUAUUGGGCGUAAAGAGCGCGUAGGCGGGAUAGUCAGUCUGUUGUAAAGUGCGGGGCUCAACCCCGUGAUGGCAAUGGAAACAGCUAUUCUUGAGUGCAGGAGAGGAAAGGUGGAAUUCCCAGUGUAGCGGUGAAAUGCGUAGAUAUUGGGAGGAACACCAGUGGCGAAGGCGACUUUCUGGACUGUGUCUGACGCUGAGGCGCGAAAGCCAGGGGGAGGCGAACGGGAUUAGAUACCCCCGGUAGUCCUGGCCGUAAACGAUGGGUACUAGGUGUGGGAGGUAUCGACCCCCUUUCCGUGCCGGAGUUAACGCAAUAAGUACCCCGCCUGGGGAGUACGGUCGCAAGACUGAAACUCAAAUGAAUUGACGGGGGUCAUAGCUGUUUCCUG